UACGUAGGGGGCAAGCGUUGUCCGGAAUCAUUGGGCGCAAAGCGCGUGUAGGCGGUCCGGUAAGUCCGCUGUGAAAGUCGGGGGCUCAACCCUCGGAUGCCGGUGGAUACUGUCGGGCUUGAGUACGGAAGAGGCGAGUGGAAUUCCUGGUGUAGCGGUGAAAUGCGCAGAUAUCAGGAGGAACACCAAUUGCGAAGGCAGCUCGCUGGGACGUUACUGACGCUGAGACGCGAAAGCGUGGGGAGCAAACAGG
rnacentral:rRNA from 1 species